rnacentral:rRNA from 1 species
CUCAGAAACUCAAAGGAAUUGACGGGGGCCCGCACAAGCGGUGGAGCAUGUGGUUUAAUUCGAUGAUACGCGAGGAACCUUACCUGGGCUCAAAUGUAUGUUGACGUAUUCUGAAAGGGAUACUUCUUCGGACAAUAUACAAGGUGCUGCAUGGUUGUCGUCAGCUCGUGCCGUGAGGUGUCGGGUUAAGUCCCAUAACGAGCGCAACCCCUAUCAUUAGUUGCCAUCAGGUCAAGCUGGGGACUCUAAUGAAACUGCCUACGCAAGUAGUGAGGAAGGUGGGGAUGACGUCAAAUCAGCACGGCCCUUACGUCCGGGGCGACACACGUGUUACAAUGGGUGGUACAAAGGGCAGCUACCUGGCGACAGGAUGCUAAUCUCCAAAACCACUCUCAGUUCGGAUCGGAGUCUGCAACUCGACUCCGUGAAGCUGGAUUCGCUAGUAAUCGCGCAUCAGCCACGGCGCGGUGAAUACGUUCCCGGGCCUU